GGACUACCGGGGUAUCUAAUCCUGUUUGCUCCCCACGCUUUCGCGCCUCAGCGUCAGUAUCGGUCCAGAGCGCCGCCUUCGCCACCGGUGUUCUUCCCAAUAUCUACGAAUUUCACCUCUACACUGGGAAUUCCACGCUCCUCUCCCGAUCUCCAGUCCCGCCGUCCCGCGCGCACCUCCCAGGUUGAGCCCGGGGCUUUCACACGCGACUGAGGGGACCGCCUGCGCGCCCUUUACGCCCAGUGAUUCCGAACAACGCUCGCCCCCUUCGUAUUACCGCGGCUGCUGGCAC
rnacentral:rRNA from 1 species